GCCCAGACUCCUACGGGAGGCAGCAGUGGGGAAUAUUGCACAAUGGGGGAAACCCUGAUGCAGCGACGCCGCGUGAAGGAUGAAGUAUUUCGGUAUGUAAACUUCUAUCAGCAGGGAAGAAAAUGACGGUACCUGACUAAGAAGCCCCGGCUAACUACGUGCCAGCAGCCGCGGUAAUACGUAGGGGGCAAGCGUUAUCCGGAUUCACUGGGUGUAAAGGGAGCGUAGACGGCCAUGCAAGCCUGGAGUGAAAGCCCGGGGCCCAACCCCGGGACUGCUCUGGGAACUGUGCGGCUGGAGUGCGGGAGGGGCAGGCGGAAUUCCUGGUGUAGCGGUGAAAUGCGUAGAUAUCAGGAGGAACACCGGCGGCGAAGGCGGCCUGCUGGACCGCGACUGACGUUGAGGCUCGAAAGCGUGGGGAGCAAACAGGAUUAGAUACCCCUGUA
rnacentral:rRNA from 1 species